AUCGCUUCUUGGCCUUUUGGCUAAGAUCAAGUGUCGUAUCUAUGACUUUAUUCCAGAAGAGUUACCUUAGAUUCCUAAGGUCUCAUUAAAUUCAUUUUCUCCUGAUUAAUGGUUUAGAUGUUAACUUCAAGAAUAAUAUAAGCAGCGGGGCGCCUGGGUGGCUCAGUGGGUUAAGCCGCUGCCUUCGGCUCAGGUCAU
ensembl:snRNA U2 U2 spliceosomal RNA